rnacentral:SRP_RNA from 1 species
CUGUGCUAGGCGGGGAGCUAGCGGUGCCCUGUACCCGCAAUCCGCUACAGCGGGGUCAAAUUCCUGCCCUAGGCCUUGAUGGGAGGAUCCCUGGUUUGCCGCUGGGGCGUUGAUAGCUGGGUCCUGCGUGGCGGAGACCUGUAAACCCCGCCAGAUCCGGAAGGAAGCAACGGUAUGCAGUAAGCUUCGGGUGCCGCAGGAGUGCCUGGUUAGAGUUUCAACGGCGAAACAAAUCCUGACGUUGGUGUCGAAGGCAGGUGCACGG